CCUACGGGAGGCAGCAGUGAGGAAUAUUGGUCAAUGGGCGGAAGCCUGAACCAGCCAAGUAGCGUGCAGGAUGACGGCCCUACGGGUUGUAAACUGCUUUUAUACGGGAAUAACGCGCCUUACGUGUAGGGCUUUGCAUGUACCGUAUGAAUAAGGACCGGCUAAUUCCGUGCCAGCAGCCGCGGUAAUACGGAAGGUCCGGGCGUUAUCCGGAUUUAUUGGGUUUAAAGGGAGCGUAGGCCGCAUGUCAAGCGUGCUGUGAAAUGUCCGGGCUCAACCCGGGCCUUGCAGCGCGAACUGGCGUGCUUGAGUCCGCGGAAAGCAGGCGGAAUUCGUCGUGUAGCGGUGAAAUGCUUAGAUAUGACGAAGAACCCCGAUUGCGAAGGCAGCCUGCUGCAGCGGAACUGACGCUGAUGCUCGAAAGCGCGGGUAUCGAACAGGAUUAGAUACCCGUGUAGUC
rnacentral:rRNA from 1 species